rnacentral:rRNA from 1 species
AGCAGCCGCGGUAAUUCCAGCUCCAAUAGCGUAUAUUAAAGUUGUUGCAGUUAAAAAGCUCGUAGUUGAAUUUCGGGAUCAGUACGCUGGUCAUGCCUUUGGUAUGCACUGGUGUCACUGGUUUCUCCCUUCUGAAGAUCCGUGAUGUCAUUAAUUUGGUGUCGCGGGGAAUCAGGACUGUUACUUUGAAAAAUUGAGUGUUUAAAGCAGGCUCACGCUUGAAUACAUUAGCAUGGAAUAAUGAAAUAGGACGUUUGACCCUAUUUUGUUGGUUUCUAGGAUCGACGUAAUGAUUAAUAGGGAUAGUUGGGGCAUUAGUAUUCAAUUGUCAGAGGUGAAAUUCUUGGAUUUAUUGAAG